rnacentral:rRNA from 1 species
UCCAGACUCCUACGGGAGGCAGCAGUGGGGGAUAUUGCACAAUGGGGGAAACCCUGAUGCAGCGACGCCGCGUGAGUGAAGAAGUAUUUCGGUAUGUAAAGCUCUAUCAGCAGGGAAGAAAAAAGACGGUACCUGACUAAGAAGCCCCGGCUAACUACGUGCCAGCAGCCGCGGUAAUACGUAGGGGGCAAGCGUUAUCCGGAUUUACUGGGUGUAAAGGGAGCGUAGACGGCAAUACAAGUCGGAAGUGAAAUACCCGGGCUCAACCUGGGAACUGCUUUGGAAACUGUAUGGCUGGAGUGCUGGAGAGGUAAGCGGAAUUCCUAGUGUAGCGGUGAAAUGCGUAGAUAUUAGGAGGAACACCAGUGGCGAAGGCGGCUUACUGGACAGUAACUGACGUUGAGGCUCGAAAGCGUGGGGAGCAAACAGGAUUAGAUACCCUAGUACG